ensembl:lncRNA
GUUCUUGUGGUUGAGCGUGAUUGCGGGUGUGGAGUUGGGGGCAGGGCUCUCCACGGCAUGAGUGGGUAAAUGGAUAGGCUUCCAGGACGAGCCCCUGUGACUUUGCCUGGUUUACAUCCGUCCAAUACAAAUCCACAGGCUCUUACUCUAGAAGCUUCUGCAGGGCCUGAUGGACUGGCCUGGGGACAGAGGGUGCCCUCAGAGCCUCAUGGUGCCGUCUGGUUUAGGAAGAGCACUUAGUCACCUAGAUCUAGGAUUUAUGGCACUACAAGGGGACUCCUCACACUCGGAGCAGCAUCCAUCUGCAUUCUAGACUUGGUUCUAGGCAAAGUAUUUUGGAGCCUGUUGGUACCCUGUGUUCUGUUUAUGUGUAAAACAAGUUAGAGUUAUAACUAGUUAAAACCUAUUUUUAACAUUUUGUCACAGAAUAUGGCAGUUGUGGUGGAGCCUGGCCAGAGACCCCCACACUCAGACGCUGUUGCUUGCUGGAGUUGCAGGCGUUGCCUGCAUCGGCUGCCCCUCCCGGCGUGUCUGUGUUCUUGACACGGGCGCCCAUCGAGGCUCGGCCUGUGAGAAUCGUGCCACCGUUUGUCUCCGUGUUCCUCUGAGGUUCCGCAGACUUCACGGUCCCGUGGCAGAGCUGCACGGUAUCUGCUUGCAUCCUGAUUUCCCCAAACCCCAGGACAGACCAAGAGUUCCUUACACACAACUGCAGAGGGCCCCGUGGCGUGGAUUUGCAGAGACACAGCCUUUCCCCAGCUUGGCCUUCGUCUCCAGAGUUGGCUUUAGGGUGAUAGAAGCUUCCUUCAGACUGGGGGGCCUUGAAGCUUUGGUGCUAGGAAUUCGGUGACCAGCACGGAUGAUACCCCGUUUCUCUGCAUUUGUAGCAAUAGUUGUUAACACGACCACGAGAUGUACAGAGGAAGGAAAAAGGAGGUUUUAUUUUCAGAGUAACACUCUGUGCUUUGGGAAAUGUGGUCUUGGGGGAGCUGUAAGCACACGCCCCUCAGGAGGGGAGGAGGCCGCGGCAUUACACGUUCCGGGGUUUGUUGGCUGUGUGUGUUCAUCGGGAUGCAAGCAGAUACCGUACGCUCUGCCACGGGACCGUGAAGUCUGCGGAACCUCAGAGGAACACGGAGACAAACGGUGGCACGAUUCUCACAGGCCGAGCCUCGAUGGGCUCCCGUGUCAAGAACACAGACACGCCGGGAGGGGCAGCCGAUGCAGGCAACGCCUGCAACUCCAGCAAGCAACAGCGUCUGAGUGUGGGGGUCUCUGGCCAGGCUCCACCACAACUGCCAUAUUCUGUGACAAAAUGUUAAAAAUAGGUUUUAACUAGUUAUAACUCUAACUUGUUUUACACAUAAACAGAACACAGGGUACCAACAGGCUCCAAAAUACUUUGCCUAGAACCAAGUCUAGAAUGCAGAUGGAUGCUGCUCCGAGUGUGAGGAGUCCCCUUGUAGUGCCAUAAAUCCUAGAUCUAGGUGACUAAGUGCUCUUCCUAAACCAGACGGCACCAUGAGGCUCUGAGGGCACCCUCUGUCCCCAGGCCAGUCCAUCAGGCCCUGCAGAAGCUUCUAGAGUAAGAGCCUGUGGAUUUGUAUUGGACGGAUGUAAACCAGGCAAAGUCACAGGGGCUCGUCCUGGAAGCCUAUCCAUUUACCCACUCAUGCCGUGGAGAGCCCUGCCCCCAACUCCACACCCGCAAUCACGCUCAACCACAAGAAC